GUACUUACCUGGCAGGGGAGACACCAUGAUCAAUCAGGUGGUUUUCCUUGGCAGGGAAAGCACCCUGACCAUGUAGGCGAGCUCCCCAGGGCAGGUGAUUGUCUCUGAUAUGUCCUCCAUCAGAGGUCUAUAUUGAGCAGAUUCUUUUCGGUGUUGCGUGGUGGAACCGGAGCUUGCUCCAUCCACU
rnacentral:snRNA from 1 species